AAAAUAAUCCUACCUUUGUGAAUUUGUUUGUUUGAAUAAUUUUUUUUUUUAAAAAAUUAUUGGAGUCUUUCCUUUAGAGUUUGCUUUUGGUUUGUAAAAGAAUUCGAAAACAUCUAAAGGGGAUGGUCAAUAAUUUUUUUGAAAAAAGACAUUUUUUAAAAUUAAACUUUUUGUAUUCAUUUGUCUAAAAAUUAUUUUUAUAAUAUAAAAACAACUUUUGACAAUGGAUCUCUUGGUUCUCGCAACGAUGAAGAACGCAGCAAAUGCGAUAAGUAGUGUGAAUUGCAGAAUACGUGAAUCAUCGAAUCUUUGAACGCAUAUUGCACUUUUUUAGUUUACUAAAAAAGUAUGUCUGUUUGAGUAUCAGUAAAAUAUUCUCAUAAAAAUCAUUGUGUAUUUUAUGGUUAUGAGUGUUUUACAACGAUACAAGUUGUUUCACUUUUAAAUUUUUUUUUAAUAUUGAAAUUUUUCUAAUUUUAAUAAUUAAAAUUGGAUAAAAUUUUCCCGUCAAAAGGAAUAACCUAAACAAUUUUAAAUGAUUAAUUUUAGCAAAAUUUUCGAAAAAGGAAAAUUUUUAUUAAAAUAACUUGAUCUCAAAUCAGAUAAGAGUACCCGCUGAACUCAAGCAUAUCAAUAAGCGGAGGAAAAGAAACUAACAAGGAUUCCCUUAGUAACGGCGAGUGAAGCGGGAAGAGCUCAAAUUUGAAAUCUUCAAGGUUUUACCUUGACGAAUUGUAGUUUAAAGAAGUGUUUUCUGCUGAAGUUUUGGUAAAAGUUCUUUGGAAUAGGACAUCAUAGAGGGUGAGAAUCCCGUAUUUGACCAUUAUUUUCAGCUUUGUGAUACACUUCAAAGAGUCGGAUUGUUUGGGAAUGCAGUCCAAAAUGGGUGGUAAAUUUCAUCUAAAGCUAAAUAUUGGCGAGAGACCGAUAGCGAACAAGUAGCGUGAGGGAAAGAUGAAAAGAACUUUGAAAAGAGAGUUAAACAGUACGUGAAAUUGUCAAAAGGGAAGCGUUUGACACCAGUGUUGUUUUCUCGAAAAUCAAUUAAAAAUGGCUCGAUUUUGUAUUGCUGAGACCUUAAAAGCUCACUGUACAUUUUUCGUGUCUUUUUUAAUGCACUUUUCGUUUAACAAGUCAACAUCAGUUUCUUUUGUUGUAAAAGGGUCAUUGGAAGGUGGCUUUCUUUUCGGAGAAAGUGUUUAUAGCCUUUGGCCUCUGCAAUCGGAGAGACUGAGGUCUGCAGCGUAGACUCUUCGGGUUAGAUACAUUUGUGCUAAGUUAUAGCUUUUUAUAGACAACUUGUUGACUAUAAUUAGUCUUGUAGCUUACUCGCUUAUGCUAUUUUACCUACGCUUAGGAUG
rnacentral:misc_RNA from 1 species